GAUCAUCGGCGCAACUUUCAAUUGUCAAAACUUUAUGACAGGCACACUCGAUGAACUUUGAGAGAAGUACUCAGAAGACGAUUUAAAUUGGGUGCCUUUCGACAUCUUUGAUCUCCACUUCUUAUUUGGACUUCGUCCAUAGUCGACGAGUCUGAGGAAAUGUGGGCUUAAUGAAAAAAACGAAAAACAGUGACGACUGCAUCAAUUCUUUUUAGGAACAUUACUUUUUUAAGAAUGUGUUACUAAUAAACGCGAUGCUGUAUAUAUGUUGCACAAUAUUUGUGAUAAAAGUUCCGUUAUAGAAUGUGAAUUGUAUUCCAUACAUUACACGAAUAAAAAAAAUGUGAAUAUUAAAAAAUAAAUAUUAAUAAAUA